GAUGAACGCUGGCGGCGUGCCUAAUACAUGCAAGUCGAGCGAACGGACGAGAAGCUUGCUUCUCUGAUGUUAGCGGCGGACGGGUGAGUAACACGUGGAUAACCUACCUAUAAGACUGGGAUAACUUCGGGAAACCGGAGCUAAUACCGGAUAAUAUUUUGAACCGCAUGGUUCAAAAGUGAAAGACGGUCUUGCUGUCACUUAUAGAUGGAUCCGCGCUGCAUUAGCUAGUUGGUAAGGUAACGGCUUACCAAGGCAACGAUGCGUAGCCGACCUGAGAGGGUGAUCGGCCACCCUGGAACUGAGACACGGUCCAGAGUCCUACGGGAGGCAGCAGUAGGGAAUCUUCCGCAAUGGGCGAAAGCCUGACGGAGCAACGCCGCGUGAGUGAUGAAGGUCUUCGGAUCGUAAAACUCUGUUAUUAGGGAAGAACAGAUGUGGAAGUAACUGUGCACAGCUUGACGGUACCUAAUCAGAAAGCCACGGCUAACUACGUG
rnacentral:rRNA from 1 species